rnacentral:rRNA from 1 species
CAUGCCUAAGACAUGCAAGUCGAACGAGAUAGCCCUUUGAAGCAGAGUGCUUGCACAAAGUGGAAAGGAUUCCUAUCUAGUGGCAGACGGGUGAGUAACACGUGGGUGACCUACCUAUUAUGUUGGGGAUAACAGUUGGAAACGACUGCUAAUACCGAAUGUGAUGUAUCGGUCGAAGAUACAUUGAAAGGAGCCUUUAAAGCUUCGCUAAUAGAUGGGCCUGCGGCGUAUUAACUAGUUGGUGGGGUAAUGGCCUACCAAGGUAACGAUGCGUAGCCGAACUGAGAGGUUGAACGGCCACACUGGGACUGAGACACGGCCCAGACUCCUACGGGAGACAGCAGUUAGGAAUAUUCGUCAAUGGAGGAAACUCUGAACGAGCAAUGCCGCGUGAGUGAUGAAGGUCUUUGGAUUGUAAAACUCUGUUGUAUGGGAAGAACGUUACUAUUAGGAAAUGAAUAGUAAGUGACGGUACCAUACGAGAAAGCCCCGGCUAACUACGUG